rnacentral:rRNA from 1 species
UAGGGAAUAUUGCGCAAUGGACGAAAGUCCGACGCAGCAACGCCGCGUGAGCGAAGAAGGCUUCGGGUCGUAAAGCUCUAUCGACCGGGAAGAUAAAAGACGGUACCGGAGUAAGAAGCCCCGGCUAACUACGUG